CUGGGCGGGAGGCAGAGCCAAAACCGUAACAGCCAGAGCUAGAGACUCCGGCCUGGGGUUCUGGCUCUGUCCCGUAUCAGCUAGGAAACCCAGGGCAAGCUACUUAAACUCUCAGAGGCUCAGCUUUUUCAUGAGCAAACAGGAAAACAGGGCUAAUGAUUAGUCCUUGGCUUAAAAUACAUACCGCGUGUGAAAUUGCAGGUAUAUAAUAGAUUCACUAAAUGAGAGCACAAAUAAUGUAUGUUUUCUGAACCAUCUGAGGGCGAGUUAUCAACACUUACUCUCCAAUGCGUCAUCACCCCCAACACUCCUGUGUAUUUCCUGCAAAUAAGGAUCUUCUCCUACAUGGUCAGUCCGAACAACCUUCAGUCACAACUGAGAAGGUCACAUGGUGCAUCACUGCCGCUCAGUCUCCCCAAGCCCAGUGAUUUCUUCACAAUUAGGGAUCUGAGACCCGCAGUAUGGCAGUGACAAGAUCCAAGUCUUGGGACACCUAGCCAGGAGGGAAGAAUUUGAGGGAGAGGUGGAAAAUAUGCGAGGCUGAACUGACCUUCAAGGACAAGAAGGCUGUGUUCAGAUAGACAGAGUUUGUCUUCUGGGAGAGGAGUGGGCUUAUCCAGGAUGAUCCCAAAGGCAGAUUGAGGACCAGUGGGAGGACAUCCUGAGAAAGCAGAUCCAGCUUUAGGCAAGGAAGGACUUCGUAACAGGCAGAGAGCCCAUGUUGGAAACAAGCAGCUCUGCAAGGUGUGGGCCCACUGUCUGACUCCCUGCGGGGCUGCUGCCUUGGAAGAGCCUCCUGCUUAGAGAGGUUCUCCUGCCGCCAGCUGUCUCUCCUGAGUCCUGAGCACCACAUCUCUGGACCGUCUGGAGCCUCCCCUCCCUUGGCUUACUGCUCCCACCACCCUCUCUCUCCACCUUGCAAGAGACACUCUCCCUCAUCCUGGGUCAUCACCCUCUUUAGAGGCGCCGCCUGGCCACGAGGUUGGAUAUGGGGGGUGGGCAGGAUCUUGGCCUUACUUGAUGCAGUGCACACCUCCAACAGGCAUCAGAUGGAGUGCAGCCGGGAGCAAGAUUCUCAUAGCAAUUACAAAGAUUCACAAGAAAAUGUGCCCUCCACUACACAGCUGUAAUUUACAUGCUUUCAAACUUGAUAUGGAAUGACUGUGGUUUCCCCUGAAAGAAGCAUCACUGAUCUCUGCACAGGAGAAACAAGGAUCUUGCUCUGUCACCUAGGCUGGAGUGCAAUGGCACACUCACGGCUCACUGCAGCGUCAAACUCCCAGGCUCAAGUGUUCCUCCUACCUCAGCCUCCUGAGUAGCUAGGACCACAGCACAGGCCCAGACACAAAGCAGAUGUGCAGUGGAGUGUGAAAGAGGCAGCCAACUCACUGGGGAGCUUCAGAGGGAGAUGGCCCAAAUUGCUGGGGCCUAAGAAUCUCCCGGAAUGAAGGAACAGUAGAAAGAACUGGAAGCCAAAUAUGGUGAUAGAGACUCUCAUCAAGGACACUGAGUAAACCAGAAACCUGCUUGGGCUCACGUUCCUUGUCUCUUCUUCUCAGAUCCAGGAAAGGAGCUGUCCAGGACAAUGAGGAUAGGCUGAGGAAAGACAGGCCACGGCCUUGCCUCUGUGCCAGCUCUCAUGGGCCAGGCAGAGUAUCCCAGGACAACUGCCUCCACAACCAGCUCCAUCCUUCAUCAGCAAUUCAGUACCUGAUUAACAAAUCUGUACCCCAGGAGGUUAUGCCAAGUCCAACUUCUUCCAGAGACCACAACAAUAAAUCCAAGCCACUGCUAAUGUCAUUUAUAAGCUGUGGGAUUAAAACAGAGAAGCAAUCAAUUAAUUAAAAUUAGCUC
rnacentral:lncRNA from 1 species